rnacentral:rRNA from 1 species
UACGUAGGUGGCGAGCGUUGUCCGGAAUUACUGGGCGUAAAGCGCACGUAGGCGGGUCGUUAAGUCAGGGGUGAAAUCCCGGAGCUCAACUCCGGAACUGCCUUUGAUACUGGCGACCUUGAGGCUGGAAGAGGUUAGUGGAAUUCCCAGUGUAGAGGUGAAAUUCGUAGAUAUUGGGAAGAACACCAGUGGCGAAGGCGGCUAACUGGUCCAGAUCUGACGCUGAGGUGCGAAAGCGUGGGGAGCAAACAGGG